rnacentral:rRNA from 1 species
AACGAACGCUGGCGGCAUGCCUAACACAUGCAAGUCGAACGAGACCUUCGGGUCUAGUGGCGCACGGGUACGUAACGCGUGGGAACCUGCCCUUAGGUUCGGAAUAACUCCCCGACAGGGGUGCUAAUACCGGAUAAUGUCUUCGGACCAAAGAUUUAUCGCCGUUGGAUGGGCCCGCGUCGGAUUAGCUAGUUGGUAGGGUAAAAGCCUACCAAGGCGACGAUCCAUAGCUGGUCUGAGAGGAUGAUCAGCCACACUGGGACUGGGACACGGCCCAGACUCCUACGGGAGGCAGCAGUGGGGAAUAUUGGACAAUGGGCGAAAGCCUGAUCCAGCAAUGCCGCGUGAGUGAUGAAGGCCGUAGGGUUGUAAAGCUCUUUUACCCGGGAUGAUAAUGACAGUACCGGGAGAAUAAGCUCCGGCUAACUCCGUG